rnacentral:lncRNA from 1 species
CCCUAGUAAUAAUAACUGUGCUUAAGUAUUUUGGGCUAGUGGUUUUGGCCCAACGAGUUAUUAUAUGAUAUUGGGCUAUGCGUGUGUUUAGGCUUGACAUUGCGUGUGCUUAGAGCUAACGAGGACGUCAAGGCCUAAACGGGGAGAGUCUCCCAUAUCGAAUAGGAAUUGAGUUGUCAUUGGGUAUAUAAGAGACUCCACCUUGAUAAUAAUAACUGGGAUUAAGCAUUUUGGGUCGUUGGUUUUGGCCCAACGAGUUAUUAUUGCUAAUGGGUAGGGUCGUUACAUUACAGAAGGUUUGCUUUAUACAUACAUGCAGGU